rnacentral:sRNA from 1 species
GUCAUAAGCAAAGACGGUAUAAAACCAA